rnacentral:rRNA from 1 species
UACGGGGGGGGCAAGCGUUGUUCGGAAUUACUGGGCGUAAAGGGCUCGUAGGCGGCCAACUAAGUCGGAUGUGAAAUCCCCAGGCUCAACCUGGGAACUGCAUCCGAUACUGGAUGGCUUGAAUUCGGGAGAGGGAUGCAGAAUUCCAGGUGUAGCGGUGAAAUGCGUAGAUAUCGGGAGGAACACCUGUGGCGAAAGCGGCGCACUGGACCACAACUGACGCUGAGGCGCGAAAGCUAGGGGGAGCAAACAGG